rnacentral:rRNA from 1 species
UACAGAGGUGGCAAGCGUUGUUCGGAAUUACUGGGCGUAAAGGGCGCGUAGGCGGUCUUUUAAGUCUUGUGUGAAAUCCCUCGGCUCAACUGAGGAACUGCACGGGAUACUGGAAGACUUGAGUUCGGGAGAGGGAAGCGGAAUUCCGGGUGUAGCGGUGAAAUGCGUAGAUAUCCGGAGGAACACCGGUGGCGAAGGCGGCUUCCUGGACCGAUUACUGACGCUGAGGCGCGAAAGCUAGGGGAGCAAGCGGG